UCAAAUUUUAAUAGGGUAAAUUGCACAUGAAAUAAAACAUAGGAGCUUAAAUUGUAUUUUGCCUCCCAAACAAAUGACAAAAAUAUCUAUAAUUUAAAGGUAUUUUAAUCUUUUUUGUUAAAUCAUUAAUGCCUAACCAUUCAUUUUAGUUGACAAGUCAUGAGGGGGGUGAUGCGAUUAUUUCCAAAUGAAGGGAGUAAUCUUCAAAUUAAUCAAAUUACAAGGGUUAAAUUGAAAUAUGUUCUAAAAAAAUAUGAAACUAACUUCGAGUAAACUAUCGAAAAUAUAUUUACAUAUUUUCGUAUCUAAUUAUGAUACAAAAUAUAAUCAUGAUGCAGGCAUUGGGUAGGUUUUCUUUUUAAUUAUUUUUUAUUAUUUAAUUUAAAUUUUAAAAAAAAUUAAUUUUGUCAUCGUAUAGUAGUGUUUCUAAUACACAAUGCACAAAUAUUGUUUCAGCAAGAAAAUAUUUUAUACUUUAUCUCCUUGAACACUCAAUAUCAAUUUAUCUCCUCAACUAAAAAAUGUUACAUUUUUUUCACCGUAAACUCUUAAUUUGUGUAUCAAUGAAACAUUUUGUUAAAGACUUGUUUCUUAGGGCUUCUCCAAUGGUGCAUCACUUUUUUUUACCAAAUUUGAGUAAAAACUCUCUUUGAUAUCGCUUGCUCCAAUGAAGAAAUUUGACUUUUCAUCAAAUCACCGGUUGACCUGGCAGACGACCGACCAAUUGACCAGUCAAUGCAAAAAAUUAAAAAAAAAACAAGUCCUGCAUCUUUGUGUGUUUAUUAUCUUCUUCUUAUUCAAUAAUUUCACAUUCAGUUUGUUUGUAUGUUCAAUUUAAUUGACAAGUCCUGCAUCUUUGUGUGCUUAUUAUGCACAUUGAUUCACUCGCUGAUUUUUUGUUAUUUUAUUGAUUCUCUCUCUCUCUCCCCAACUAUGUACACAUACAUACAUAUUCUGUGUUUGACAAGGUCCUUGGAUCGCUUUAUAUUUCUAUUUUCUAUUUUCUUUGUUUGGAUCACUAUAUACACAUAGGCAUAGGCCAUGUUUGUUUGGGUGAACAUGUGCUUGGGAUAGGAUUAAUAGUCCAAUAAAAUUAUUAAUCUGAUGUUUGGUUAAAAAAUUAAGGUACAGAUUAACAAUCCAUCCGGAUAUAAUAUCCUACAUAUGAUGAAUUAUUCAAUCCUACAAAGAGGGGUGGGAUAUAAAUUGAGGGAUUAACUAAAGUCUGGACCAACUCACCAAAUUAAGCAUCAAUAUAUAUCUAUAUUUGUUGUUAUCUUAUUCCACCACCUUCACUCUUCUUCGACAUUGCUGUGAUGAGAUGAGAGUCUUCAAAGUUCGUCGUCGAUCUUGAGCCACUUAUCACCGAUUUGGAGCCACCAUUUACAAAUCUAGAGCAAUUGUUCAUCGAUUUGGAUCCACCAUUGGUUGAUUCGCUGAUCUCAACAAAGCAAUUGUUCAUCGAUUUGGAUCCACCAUUUGUUGAUUCGCUGAUCUCAACAAAUUUCAGUGGAUUACAAUUUCGAUGGGUUUGGAGAUGAGAGUAAUGAAGAGCUUGAGCUUUAUGUAGUGUUGCAAGUUGUAAUGCAAGAAUUGUACGCCUUAUGUGUUGUAGCAUAUAUUGUCAUUGAAAUUGUCUUGAAGAGGUACAUUCAUAAGUAUCCUCGUACCGUUAUUCCAGGGCCCAAUCGAUUGCAAGAACAAAUGGACCACAUUAAUCGGCUAGUGAGAGAAAGCGACAUUACAUGCAUUGAACAAAUUUGUAUGGAUAGGUGUUGUUUUAUGACGUUAUGUCAUAUGGUUCAUACAAUAGGCGGGCUGGGGCAUUCAAAACAUGUUACCUUAGAAGAGAAGAUGACCUUGUUCCUCUACCUCUCAGCACAUGACUUGAAAAUACGAAAAGAUCAAUUUCUUUAGGUCCGAAGAGACUGUAAGUCGAUAUUUCAAUGAUGUCCUAAAAACUGUGUUGAGCCUUCAAGGCCACUUACUUGGGACACCAAAUCCUAUAACACAAGCAUGCACUGAUCCAAGAAUUUUCUUGGAGCACUUGAUGGAACCUAUAUUAAGGUUCGUGUACCAGUGGUUUACCAAGCACGGUAUAGAACACAGAAGGGGGAGAUUGCUACCAAUGUUCUAGGAGUUUGCUCCGAGGACAUGAACUUCAUAUAUGUGUCGCUGGGGUGGGAAAGGUUAGCUGCAGACUCUAGGGUUUUGAGGGAUGCGAUUAAUCAACCCAAUGGCUUAAGAAUUCCAACAGGGUACUACUACUUAGUAGAUGCCAAGUAUACAAAUGACAAGGAUUCUUAGCACCUUAUCGGGGCCAAUGAUAUCAUUAUCUGUUUGGAGAGCAGGGACCACUCCAACUAAUUAUCAAGAAUUUGUUAAUAUGAAGCAUGCAUUAGCCCGAAAUGUCAUAGAAAGGUGUUUUGGAUUGUUGAAAAUAAGAUGGGUAAUACUUCAUUGUGCAUCAUAUUACCCCAUUAGAACUCAAAACCGUAUCAUCACAGCAUGUUGUUUGUUACACAACCUCAUUCGUCGAGAGUUGCCUGUUGACCCAAUAGAAGAGAGGCUAAAUAAUGACAUAGAAGAUCAACCUUAAUUGGGAGAUGAUUUUGUUGGCACCGUUGAGACAUCUAAUGAGUGGACUGCG